rnacentral:lncRNA from 1 species
CUUGACAUUUCAUUUCUCAGUAACAAUAGUUUGACAAUGGUAAAACUUUCUCUAAAAGAACUAAAAAAGAAGAACUUGAAUCCAUGUACCUCAUCUCAUCGCUAAUAACAUAACCAAACUGUAUACCAUACAAAACUCAAACGUACCAAAUAUUCAUAUUAAAAUCAAAUUUACAUCUAACUCUAAAACGACUUAAAUUAUUAACACAAACAAACCACUACGAAAUAUGAUAUUGUUUAUAGCAUCAUCAAUUAUUGGAACUCAAGAUGGUUCACCCAAUAACAUUUUAUUUCUUUUGCUUAAGUUUACAAGAGGACAAGUUCAAAAAGUAUUUUGCAUUUACUAAACAUACCUCUUACCACUUUUACGAUUGUUGCAUACGUAUAGUGUCUUCGAGCUUGCACUGGCAUCUUGGGUCUCAAGGAUCGAGGCCUACAUGACGGUAGAGCAUCAUCUUUUGGGGGAUUGUCAAUGAGGGCAUCACCGUCUGAUGCUAGAUCAAUCGAACUAUGCAAUGCCUUCUUUGUACUUUCACGAACAAUAUCCUCCAGCAAUUGGUUUGAACUCCUACAUUUUUGCAACUUGCCCUACGCAGCUAUCCUCAAACUACCUCCUCUUAUAUAUAUAAUUCGAUAACAUCAAAUUCUCAUGAUAUUGGGUAUUUGUCCUUGCACAACUCCGUUGGUCUCAUUUGGGAUGUUAGGAUGUUGAUUCAAAAUAAUCGGUAAUUAGUGUUCCGUUGUUGGAAAAGUUUCGAACUCAUGUAAAGAUUGAUCACUAGUCUAAAACCACUAGGUUCAUGUAUAUAUAGCUCUAGUGUUUCCCCAAAAUUAGUCAAUGCAGAUUAUUAGUUUUAAUAAUCAUAGUCUAAACCCAAACCUUCAAAAAUUUUCAACAGAAAUACUAAUUCUGAUAGGCAUUUCUAAUCUAGCCUAUGUAUGGGUUGGAGAUGCUUAAAAGUAGACUAAAUCUCAAAGACUAAUUUUGAAAGGCAUUUCUAAUCUAACCUUGGUCCAUACUCAGCCAGAAGGUACAAGAGUUGAAGAUUAAUCACAAGUUACCUAGAAUUAUUAUUUGAAUUCAUGUUAAUUACACAAAAAUAUUACGUCAUAUGUCAUCAAAAGUACGUUCAAAUAACUCUACUCGUCGAAAGUAUUAUGUUUUGAACAAUGAUAAAGAAAAAUAAAUAGUAAAUACAAUAUAAAUGACAAAUAUGCAACUCGUAGAAUUUUUUAUAACAAUCCAUUGGACAAAUAGGAGAAGGAAAAAUAAAUGUCCAAAUAUCAUGAAUUUUAUCAUGAUUAGUACAAAAAAAUGCAAAUAAGAUAAGAAUAUAUUUUGUACCGGCAACAAAAAGCAACUGAAUGUAAGUCCCUAAAAGAUGUUAUUCACAAACAAAAAUAGGGAAAAAAAUCAGAAACUAAAAACAAUCAUCCAUUACCUUAACCAUCUAGUUCUUGUACAAAUGGAGAGACCAUAUUUUUUUUAAUUCAAUCAAAUGCUCAGAUUUCAAUGGAAGAAAUAACACGAAGAUAAUGAUGAUAAAGAACAAUGAAGAAAAUGGAUUGUGAGAAUUUGACCAGAUAAAGAGCAAUUGAGUAGAAAUCGAAAGAGUGACAGCAAUAAGUGACUACAAGCUCGCAAUUGACAUCAGGAAUGGUGAUUUGGGCGGUUGAAGGGUUGAAAUUUAGGGUUAGAGAGAGAAAUGGUAAAUGAAUAAAAUGUUUUAGAUUAUAAUUGUGCUUCAAUUAUACGAGUCGGUUCAUG